CUACGGGGGGCUCCAGUGAGGAAUAUUGGUCAAUGGGCGCGAGCCUGAACCAGCCAUCCCGCGUGCAGGAUGACGCCCUGUGGGUUGUAAACUGCUUUUCUAUGCCAAGAAACCUGAUUACGUGUAAUCAGUUGCCGGUAGCAUAGGAAUAAGCAUCGGCUAACUCCGUGCCAGCAGCCGCGGUAAUACGGAGGAUGCAAGCGUUAUCCGGAUUCAUUGGGUUUAAAGGGUGCGCAGGUGGGCUUGUAAGUCAGUGGUGAAAUGCUGCCGCUUAACGGUAGAACUGCCAUUGAUACUGCGAGUCUUGAGUAUGGUUGAGGUAGGUGGAAUGUGUUGUGUAGCGGUGAAAUGCAUAGAUAUGACACAGAACGCCAAUUGCGAAGGCAGCUUACUAAGCCAUUACUGACGCUGAGGCACGAAAGCGUGGGGAGCGAACAGGAUUAGAUACCCUCGUAGUC
rnacentral:rRNA from 1 species